rnacentral:rRNA from 1 species
UACGAAGGGGGCUAGCGUUGUUCGGAUUUACUGGGCGUAAGCGCACGUAGGCGGAUCGUUAAGUCGGGGGUGAAAUCCUGGAGCUCAACUCCAGAACUGGCCUUCGAUACUGGCGAUCUUGAGUCCGGAAGAGGUGAGUGGAACUCCUAGUGUAGAGGUGGAAUUCGUAGAUAUUAGGAAGAACACCCAGUGGCGAAGGCGGCUCACUGGUCCGGUACUGACGCUGAGGUGCGAAAGCGUGGGGAGCAACAGG